UCCACAAGUCUUUAAUAUAAUCUUUGG
rnacentral:piRNA from 1 species